GAUACCGCCCUAGUUCUAACCAUAAACGAUGCCAACCAGCGAUCCGCCUGGGUUCCUCAAAUGACUCGGCGGGCAGCUUCCGGGAAACCAAAGUGUUUGGGUUCCGGGGGAAGUAUGGUUGCAAAGCUGAAACUUAAAGGAAUUGACGGAAGGGCACCACCAGGAGUGGAGCCUGCGGCUUAAUUUGACUCAACACGGGAAAACUUACCCGGCCCGGACACUGGAAGGAUUGACAGAUUGAGAGCUCUUUCUUGAUUCAGUGGGUGGUGGUGCAUGGCCGUUCUUAGUUGGUGGAGCGAUUUGUCUGGUUAAUUCCGAUAACGAACGAGACUCUAGCCUACUAAAUAGGCGUUCCGAUCCACUUUGUCGGGCGCUCUUCUUAGAGGGACAAGCGGCGUUUAGCCGCACGAGACAGAGCAAUAACAGGUCUGUGAUGCCCUUAGAUGUCCGGGGCCGCACGCGCGCUACACUGAAGGAAUCAGCGUGUGCUUUCCCUGUCCGGUAGGACUGGGUAACCCGUUCAACCUCCUUCGUGAUAGGGAUAGGGGCUUGUAAUUGUUCCCCUUGAACGAGGAAUUCCCAGUAAGCGCGAGUCAUAAGCUCGUGUUGAUUACGUCCCUGCCCUUUGUACACACCGCCCGUCGCUACUACCGAU
rnacentral:rRNA from 1 species